rnacentral:tRNA from 1 species
GCGAGAGUGGCGGAAUAGGUAGACGCACUGGACUUAGAAUCCAGCGCCUUUGUGCGUGGGAGUUCGAGUCUCCCCUCUCGCA